rnacentral:lncRNA from 1 species
UGUGCAGCUCGGCUCAGUUGAUGGGAAUGGAGACUGGCUCCUCUACAAAAGCAUGAAUCCUCCUCUACAUGAACCACAGAGUCAUUUCCACAGCUUCCAUGAGUGACUUGAAAAAAUGGUCACCCUGUUUGUAAUGGAAUCUUUGAGUUUAUUUUCCCCCCACAUAGGGUUUCUCUUCAUAGCCCUGGAUGUCCUGGAACUCACACUGUAGACCAGGCUGGCUUCGAAUUCAGAGAUCCCCCUGCUUCUUCUUCUUCUUUUUUUUUUUAAAGAUUUUUAUUUUAUUUUAUGUAUGUGAGUACACUGUAGCUGUCUUCAGACACACCAGAAAAAGGCAUCGGACCCCAUUACAGAUGAUUGUGAGCCGCCAUGUGGUUGCUGGGAAUUGAACUCAGGACCUCUGGAAGAGCAGCCGGUACUCUUAUCUGCUGAGCCAUCUCUCCAGCCCCUUGGAAUCUUUGAAUAAAGGGUGACACGCAGAGCUGCAUGGAUGAUGACAAAUAAGCUGUCAUAAUAGAGCACUGGAUUUAAUUAUAUUCGCUAGGCAGUAGUACAAGUAGAAAUUUUAAAAAAUACCUAAGUAGAACAGGAAUAUAAGCAAACCUGAUGAGGUAGAGUUGAUCUAAUACAAACUCGUACCAAGCAACUGAGGGCACACUUUGUUUUGCUAACUCACAAAGAACAUAUUCAAUUACGGAUUCCAUUCUGGGCAGGCAGGAAAGACAAUAAAGUAUGCUGAUUGUCUGGUCACAAAUCAACUGAAU